ACGACGCCGAUGCGAGCGCUGAUACCCACGAACUACACCUCUACGACGCCAAUGCUGGUACACUAUCAUAUCUCCUCAGCGCACGGUGGAGGUGAGGUCUGACGCUUAUUCCCUUGUCGUCUUUCUGGCCUCCCUCCCCCGUUCCUCAACCUCACCAUUCACCUCUCAAUAUUGAGGGAUUGAAUUGAUUUUACGGUGUUUGGAGCAAAAAAGAACGUGAUAAUUGAUGUUGAGCUUUGUGAAUCAUUCUCUAUAGUUAACAUAAUUUUUUGUUGCUUAUUGGUGCAGAAUAUGAAGGUAUGGGUUCUCAAACUAUUAGUAAAUGUAGUAUAUUUUUGUGUAAUUUUUCCUACUUAUUUUUCUUUAAUACAUUUGUUAGAUCUUGAUUGUUCUCUCUUUCCAAUAAUAGGAUUUAAUGGAAAUGCAUAGAGCAAAUAAGUUUCGGGAUGGGAACUUUAAUUACUUAUAUUACAUUAUAUAUAUGUUAUUUAUGUUUUUUGAAGCUAUUCUUGCAUUUAUGUAGUGGCUAAAUAGCUCAUUUCAAAUGACAAUUCACAUCAGAAAGUAUAGAGUAGAGAAAUGAAUAAAUGGAAGUCUUUUAUGUUUCAUAUUCAUACCAUGACUUCAACUCAAUCACAAUUACAUAGUGAUAUAUGAGUCAUUUUAUUUUUCUAUUUUGUUUAUUUGCGCAUACAUACAUAUACUGAGAUGUUGUUUCGUAAAAGCUGAUGUACUAAAUGGAAAAUGGAGUUGUUUAUUCAUGUAUGAUAUGAAUCUUGACAUAGACUUAAUUUCUUAUACUGAUUCAGGGUUGAUGGCUUGCUAGACAAAGAAAGUUGUGUUAGGGAACUACUUAUGGGAAAAGAUGACGAGACAAAAAAAGGGUAAUUUUUCUUACUUCAAAAAAUCCAAUGUAGACUUUGGGGUCAUGAACUCAUGGUUCACUAAGCCAUUUUUUAUUUGCUUGAUAGGUUAUUGGUUAAUAUGUGAUAAUUAUAUACUGAAAUCUCUGCUUUUUGUUUGUAAAAAUGCAAAAAAUCAAUCACAUUUGUUUGUAAAAUUGCAAAAUAUUUUCUUUUGCUUUGUGUCACUAUA